ACUUUAAGAGACAUAACUCAAAUCACAGGUGUGAUGUGUAAGGUAGCAUAUAACCUUAAUUCAAACACAAACCACAGGUGUACUGUGUAAGGUAGCAUAUAACCUUAAUUCAAACACAAACCACAGGUGUACUGUGUAAGGUACCGUAAUAUAACCUUAAAUUCUAUAUUCAAAAAAAUUUGGAACACAAUAUCAAUC